GACGGACGCUGGCGGCGUGCUUAACACAUGCAAGUCGAACGGAAAGGCCCUGCUUUUGUGGGGUGCUCGAGUGGCGAACGGGUGAGUAACACGUGAGUAACCUGCCCUUGACUUUGGGAUAACUUCAGGAAACUGGGGCUAAUACCGGAUAGGAGCUCCUGCUGCAUGGUGGGGGUUGGAAAGUUUAGGCGGUUGGGGAUGGACUCGCGGCUUAUCAUCUUGUUGGUGGGGUAGUGGCUUACCAAGGCUUUGAAGGGUAUCCGGCCUGAGAGGGUGACCGGCCAAAUUGGGACUGCGAUACGGCCAAGCCUACUACGGGCGGCAGCAGUGGGAAACAUUGCAAAAUGGGCGGAAGCCUGAUGCAGCAACGCAGCGUCCGGGAAGACGGCCUUCGGGUUGUAAACCGAUUUCGCCUGUGACGAAGCGUGAGUGACGGUAAUGGGUAAAGAAGCACCGGCUAACUACGUG
rnacentral:rRNA from 1 species